AGUCGUCGCGGCGCUUUCUGCACAGACAGACGCAUCGAAAAAUUGUUCACAAGACUUUAACUUGGUGAAUAUAUCGAAUCAUAUGUGAUGUGAUAGUAACUUAUUAAUUAGUUUUUCGAAUAGCUUUUUGUCACAAAUGUGAUUUUUCGUUAAGACAAUACUAUAAACGGACAUUUCUCAGCUUUCAGAAAAGUUAUUCUAAAUUGAAGUCAUGGCCGCAGAAACUUCUUCUUUGAAAUCUGCUACGGGCAGUAAACCUAGAACUCCCGGUGUCGAAGGUAUAACCAAAAAAGUAGGUUUCGCAAGACCAACGCUAAUCAUUCCACCACCACAAAGUCAAUACCAUCCUCAGUAUGUCGCGUACACUCCAGGAGGGAUCAGUACACACUCUCUUCAUUCGCAUCAUUCCCAUGGUAUCCCAGCAUAUGGAAAUUACGGUAGGAAGGCGUCACUUUUCGUUAUGAACCAGUUUGAUGGGAUCAAGGGAAUCGCAAAAUCUGGAUUAGGUUUCGGUGAAAGAUGUUCGUAUUGGUGUUAUGGGAAAAUAGUAGUGUGGAGUAGAAAGUGGUUUACACAUUGUUUUUUAUCCAUUGUAUUGGGUGUUUAUACUGUGGGAGGUGCUUUGUUAUUUAUGUAUAUAGAAGGUAGGUCAAUUUCAAUAAAUUUAAAACUAACAUUAUUAAACUUAAAAUGACAAUAUAUAAA